ACAAGCGGUGGAUGAUGUGGUUUAAUUCGAUGCAACGCGAAAACCUUACCCACCUUUGACAUGUACGGAAGCCUUUAGAGAUAGAGGCGUGCUCGAAAGAGAGCCGUAACACAGGUGCUGCAUGGCUGUCGUCAGCUCGUGUCGUGAGAUGUUGGGUUAAGUCCCGCAACGAGCGCAACCCUUGUCAUUAGUUGCUACAUUCAGUUGGGCACUCUAAUGAGACUGCCGGUGACAAGCCGGAGGAAGGUGGGGAUGACGUCAAGUCCUCAUGGCCCUUAUAGGUGGGGCUACACACGUCAUACAAUGGCUGGUACAAAGGGUUGCCAACCCGCGAGGGGGAGCUAAUCCCAUAAAGCCAGUCGUAGUCCGGAUCGUAGUCUGCAACUCGACUACGUGAAGUCGGAAUCGCUAGUAAUCGUGGAUCAGAAUGUCACGGUGAAUACGUUCCCGGGUCUU
rnacentral:rRNA from 1 species